rnacentral:rRNA from 1 species
GACGAACGCUGGCGGCGUGCUUAACACAUGCAAGUCGAACGGAAAGGCCCUGCUUUUGUGGGGUGCUCGAGUGGCGAACGGGUGAGUAACACGUGAGUAACCUGCCCUUGACUUUGGGAUAACUUCAGGAAACUGGGGCUAAUACCGGAUAGGAGCUCCUGCUGCAUGGUGGGGGUUGGAAAGUUUCGGCGGUUGGGGAUGGACUCGCGGCUUAUCAGCUUGUUGGUGGGGUAGUGGCUUACCAAGGCUUUGACGGGUAGCCGGCCUGAGAGGGUGACCGGCCACAUUGGGACUGAGAUACGGCCCAGACCCAUACGGGAGGCAGCAGUGGGGAAUAUUGCACAAUGGGCGGAAGCCUGAUGCAGCAACGCCGCGUGCGGGAUGACGGCCUUCGGGUUGGAAACCGCUUUCGCCUGUGACGAAGCGUGAGUGACGGUAAUGGGGAAAGAAGCACCGGCUAACUACGU